rnacentral:lncRNA from 1 species
CUGAGGUGUCCACUUCCGGGCAGGUGCCCCCUCCUCACAGUGCAGGAGCUGGUGGUGGGAAGGGGGCAGGUUUUGAGCUGGGGGCUCCAUUUGUUUUCUUCCUUGGGCAGCCAAAAUGUUAGAGAUGGUCUUCCCUGGGGCCUCAACGAUUCCCAUCUGCCCUUGUCCCUUGUGUCUCUGUCACUCUCUCUGUGCUCUCCUUUCCUGAUCUCUCCCCGCAUCUUUAUCCCUCCUCCCCACCCGCCCCUCCCCACCCCUGUUGCUUUGUGCCUCUCCUCCAGGCUGCCGCUGUUCCAGGCCAGUGCCUUUGCAUUUCUGGUUCCAGCCAAAGCCAUACUGGCUCUGGAGAGAUGGAAAUGCCCCCCGGAAGAGGAGAUCUACGGUAACUGGAGUCUGCCCCUGAACACCUCUCAUAUCUGGC